rnacentral:rRNA from 1 species
GGUUUUACCCUAGGAACGUACGGUCGGACCGCUAACCGGCAAGGAGGCAGCGGCACGUAGGUCGUAGCGACUGGGGUG